CAGUAGCCACGGUAAUACGUAGGGUGCAAGCGUUAAUCGGAAUUACUGGGCGUAAAGCGUGCGCAGGCGGUUAUAUAAGUCAGAUGUGAAAUCCCCGGGCUCAACCUGGGAACUGCAUUUGAGACUGUAUGGCUAGAGUGUGUCAGAGGGGGGUAGAAUUCCACGUGUAGCAGUGAAAUGCGUAGAUAUGUGGAGGAAUACCGAUGGCGAAGGCAGCCCCCUGGGAUAACACUGACGCUCAUGCACGAAAGCGUGGGGAGCAAACAGGAUUAGAGACCCGCGUAGUUCCUGUCUCUUAUAC
rnacentral:rRNA from 1 species